GGAUGAAAUGGCCGAAAGUCUGAUCUAGCAACACCGCGUGUGCGAAGAAGGCCUUCGGGUUGUAAAGCACUUUUGGAAGGAUUAGGAAGGAAUGUACUUCCAGAAUAAGUCUCGGCUAACUACGUGCCAGCAGCCGCGGUAACACGUAGGAGGCAAACGUUAUCCGGAUUUACUGGGCGUAAGGCGCGUGUAGGUGGUUCUGUAAGUAGGGCGUGAAAGCUCCUGGCUCAACUGGGAGAGGCCGUUCUAAACUGCAGAGCUAGAGGAUGGUAGAGGGAGGUGGAAUUCCGGGUGUAGCGGUGGAAUGCGCAGAUAUCCGGAGGAACACCAGUGGCGAAAGCGGCCUCCUGGACCAUUCCCUGACACUCAGACGCGAAAGCUAGGGUAGCAAACGGGAUU
rnacentral:rRNA from 1 species